rnacentral:rRNA from 1 species
AGAGUUUGAUCCUGGCUCAGAACGAACGCUGGCGGCAUGCCUAACACAUGCAAGUCGAACGCUCUUGGGGAUUUCGGUCCGCAAGGGAGUGGCGCACGGGUGAGUAGCGCGUGGGAACCUGCCCUUUUGUGGGGGAUAACCGAGGGAAACUUCGGCUAAUACCGCAUGCGCCCCCAGGGCGACCUGGGGGGAAAGAUUUA